GGCUUUCCUGGGAGCGGAGAGCAGACAGAGGUGCCCUGGGUUUGUUCCCAGCCCUACUUACUCACCUGGGGGGGCUGACCCUGCCCUGCCCUGCCUUAGCCAUUAUAUUCUGUCCAGAAAUCCCACAGGAAAUCUUCAAGUGUGGCAAGAAGAGGGGGAAACCUACUAUCUCCCUGGAACCUAAUGUUCGGUCUAAGGUUCUCGAGGUGGUCUUGUUGGUGGGAAGACUCUGGCAUGAAGGGGAGAGACAUGGAACCUGGUUUGGGAACCCUUUGGAUAUCUCUCAAGGAUUCUGCAGUUUGGGCAAAUCUGCCUUACACAAUAGAGUCUCCUGCAGGUCACAUGCAAGAAUUCCCAACAGUGCCAAAUACAGUAGUCCCCCUCAGCCACAGUUUCAUGUUCCAUGGAUUCAGCUACCUGUGGCCAACCACG
rnacentral:lncRNA from 1 species